UAUCACGUUUUAUGCUUUUCGAAUGAGAUUUUAAUGAAUGUAAAUGUUAGCUUUUAGCCAACUGAAAAUUGAAGUAGAUAAAACAUGAUACGAGUAUAUCAAUCUAAUGAUAAAAUCACAAACAAUAUUCAGUAUUAAUUAUUCUCAAUAAUAUUUUUUUAAUGCUGUUUUAAUCAUUUGAGAUUUUUAAAAUAAGAACAUAAAGCGGCCUCAAAGAUUAUUGUCACAAGAGAAAUGAUUGGAUAUAGAUUUCAAAACUUUACCGAAGAGGAAUUUAAAACCAUGAAUAAGACAAUUCAACAUGCGAAGACAAAAUAUGAAAGAUCCAAAAAAUCAAUUAAAAUAUAAGUUUGCCUUUCCUUGUACAUAUA